rnacentral:rRNA from 1 species
UACGGGGGGUGCGAGCGUUGUCCGGAAUCACUGGGCGUAAAGGGCGCGUAGGUGGUUUGAUAAGGGCGUGGUGAAAGCCCGGGGCUCAACCCCGGGUCUGCCGUGCCGACUGUCAAACUCGAGGGCUGUAGAGGCAGACGGAAUUCCGGGUGUAGCGGUGGAAUGCGUAGAGAUCCGGAGGAAGACCGGUGGCGAAGGCGGUCUGCUGGGCAGUUUCUGACACUGAUGCGCGACAGCGUGGGGAGCAAACAGG